GGAUGGAUGGAUGGACAACUAGCUGGGCACAUCAGAAUCAAUUUAAGAGCACACACACACGUGUGUGCUUACUGUACACCAGGCCCCAUGCUCAGCCUGCAAUGCAGGGCGUUCACUAAAUCCUCCUGGCCACCGCCUGAGAGAGUAACUAAUGCUGCUCUUUUUUCAAAGGACAAACCUGAGGCUCAGAGAGAUAACGUCACUGGCCCCAGGUCACACAGCCAGGAGGUGGAGGAGCCAAGAUCUGUUUGAUUCCAGAACCGAGGCUGCCUUCCUGGGCCAGUGGAGCACCCGGGACUCUGGCUUCUUGGGCGCUCCCCCUGUGAUUCUGAGGUGCAGCCUCGGCCGGAGCAGUGAGGUGUGGGGAGAGCGUCUGGUUUGGGGCGUUCAGGCUCCGGUACUGCCUCGCAGCCUGUUUCCCCAUGUGACACAGGGCGAUGGCAGCGCCUGCCCUGGGGGGUUCCGGAGCAUGGAGUGAUCUAAGUAGAGUGCCUGCGGGGCCGUAAGCACUGGGGGCCGUCCUGCGAGUGUGCUGGCGGCAGCAGCAUUGCCACUGGGCUGGGGGCCAAUGGCCGUCCUGCUCCUUCUCACAGCUCCCCUGGGUACAGGCAUGUCAGCCUCCUAGUUAAGAACUUGAGACAAGCUGGAGAAGACCUCUUGGGGCAUUCAAGAGCCACAGCAUCUGAGUGCAGACGCGACUCUGGAAAUACAUCUUGCAGGAGUACACGUGUCCACAGACGUGUGGCCAGGUGACCACUACCGUGCAAAAGCCAGGAAGCAAGCCUGAUCGUGCCAGCAAGUCAUCGGAUGCCGUUAUCUGGUGUAGAUGUGUUUCCUGGACCACUGACCACAUCCUUCAGAUGGGCCCUGGCACACAGCCUCCUGUGUGCUGACACCGCUGGGAGUAGGGACACUCUCAGGACCGCCCCAGCCUCCUGGAACUCCGAGCACAACGGGGAAGACAGAUAAUGAUCAGAGAUCAGUGCACAAACAUCAUCACAGACUGUGAUCAGCACUGAGAAGGAAAGAUACCUGUGCUUCAAGAAUGUGCACCUACACGAAGCAAUGGAAAUAGGCUGCGAGGAUAUACUCCAAGAUGUUAAAGGGGUAGUAACAUUGCAGGUGAUUCUGCCUGUUUCCUUUUCUUUUGCUUGUCUGUCCGUUCUAAUUUUUCUUUCUUUCUUUUUAGAAUGUCAUGCUUUAUAAUUGAGUGAAUUAAAAACACAAACAAACCCACAAUGAAUAGAGGGGUUGGAAAUCAUGUGUCCAAAGAUGAUUUAACGCCAGGAAAGAAAGGAAGGACACGCAAGAAACUGCUCACUGUGUUGGCUUCCGGGCAGGGGAGCCAGAGGCUGGGGAGGGAAAGAGCUUCGCUUCUCACUGGACACCCUUCGAACCUUUCCGACGUGUGUGCAUUCAAAAAACAAUAAAAAUAAAAUAAG